rnacentral:rRNA from 1 species
AUUGAACGCUGGCGGCAGGCCUAACACAUGCAAGUCGAACGGUAACAGGAAGCAGCUUGCUGCUUUGCUGACGAGUGGCGGACGGGUGAGUAAUGUCUGGGAAACUGCCUGAUGGAGGGGGAUAACUACAGGAAACGGUAGCUAAUACCGCAUAACGUCGCAAGACCAAAGAGGGGGACCUUCGGGCCUCUUGCCAUCGGCUGUGCCCAGAUGGGAUUAGCUAGUAGGUGGGGUAACGGCUCACCUAGGCGACGAUCCUUAGCUGGUCUGAGAGAAUAAACUGCCCCACUGGAACUGAGACACGGUCCAUACUCCUACAUGAGGCAGCAGUGGCUAAUAUUGCACAAUGUGCGCAAGCUAGAAGCAGCCAUGCCCCGUGUAUGAAGAAGGACUACAGGUUGUAAAGUACUUUCAGCGAGGAGGAAGAUGUUGUGGUUAAUAACCGCAGCAAUUGACGUUACUCGCAGAAGAAGCACCGGCUAACUCCGUGCCUGACGCCCCGGUAAUAC